rnacentral:snRNA from 1 species
GGUGCUUCUCCCACCUUUCGCUUAGAUCAAAUGUAGUAUCUGUUCUAUCCAUGUUUAACCACUUGGAUCCUUUCGCAAGAAAGAUUAACUUAUGGUUUUCCAUAAUUUUUGGUUGUUUUUACUCCGCUCGUGCGACGAGUCGUGCGAGGGGUGUAUAGGUGUCCCUGGUAUUACACUGCUUCUGGGUGAUGCUGAUUUUGA